rnacentral:rRNA from 1 species
GACGUAGGGGCGAGCGUUGUCCGGAAUUACUGGGCGUAAAGAGCACGUAGGCGGGAACCUAAGUCAGGUGUGAAAGACCGUGGCUCAACCACGGGGUGGCAUUUGAAACUGGGUUUCUUGAGGGCAGGAGAGGAAAGCAGAAUUCCUGGUGUAGCGGUGAAAUGCGUAGAAAUCAGGAGGAAUACCAGUGGCGAAGGCGGCUCUCUGGACUGUAACUGACACUGAGGCACGAAAGCGUGGGGAGCAAACAGGAUUAGAUACCCGGGGUAGUCCCUGAG